rnacentral:rRNA from 1 species
GACGAACGCUGGCGGCGUGCUUAACACAUGCAAGUCGAGCGGUAAGGCCCUUUCGGGGGUACGACGAGCGGCGAACGGGUGAGUAACACGUGGGUGACCUGCCCUUACGCUCUGGGAUAAGCCUGGGAAACUGGGUCUAAUACCGGAUAUGACUCCAUGACGCAUGUUGUGGGGUGGAAAGCCUUGUGCGGCUAGGGAUGGGCCCGCGGCCUAUCAGCUUGUUGGUGGGGUGAUGGCCACCAAGGCGACGACGGGUAGCCGGCCUGAGAGGGCGACCGGCCACACUGGGACUGAGACACGGCCCAGACUCCUACGGGAGGGCAGCAGUGGGGAAUCUUGCGCAAUGGGCGAAAGCCUGACGCAGCGACGCCGCGUGAGGGAUGACCGGCC